rnacentral:sRNA from 1 species
AUAUAGAGGACAAAAGGAGGCAGAGUAGGUGAAUAAA